rnacentral:snoRNA from 1 species
CUCCUCUCAGAGUCGCAUCUGGAGUGUUUCCAGUACUCUACCAGCCUGGCUACUGGAGGGAGAGUCAAGCAGAGGCCCAUCCAUUCCAUUCCUAGCUUGGGCAGUGGCUAGUGAGUGGAAGGCAAACUGCUACAUGU